rnacentral:rRNA from 1 species
GAUGAACGCUGGCGGCGUGCCUAAUACAUGCAAGUCGAGCGAACGGACGAGAAGCUUGCUACACUAAUGGUAACGGCGGAAGGGAGAGUAGCAUGUGGAUAACCUACCUAUAAGACUAGGAUAACAUAGGGAAACCAGAACUGAUAACGGACAAUAUUUUGAACGGGGUGGUUCAAAAGUGAAAGACGGUGUUGAUGUCACUUAUAGAUGGACUCGCGCUGUAUCAGCUAGUUGGUAGGGUGGCGGCCUACCAAGGCAGCGAUGCGUAGCCGACCUGAGAGGGUGACCGGACACAUUGGGACUGAGAUACGGGCCAGACUCCUACGGGAGGCAACAGUGGGGAAUAUUGCACAAUGGGCGCAAGCCUGAUGCAGCAACGCCGCGUGCGGGAUGACGGCCUUCGGGUUGUAAACCGCUUUCAGCAGGGACGAAGCUUUUUGUGACGGUACCUGCAGAAGAAGCACCGGCUAACUACGUG